CCCGCUGAACUUAAGCAUAUCAAUAAGCGGAGGAAAAGAAACUAACAAGGAUUCCCCUAGUAACUGCGAGUGAAGCGGGAGGAGCUCAAAUUUAAAAUCUGGUGGCCUCUGGCCAUCCGAGUUGUAAGCUAGAGAAGCGCCAUCAGCGCUGGGGCCAUGUACAAGUCUCCUGGAAUGGAGCGUCAUAGAGGGUGAGAAUCCCGUCUCUGACAUGGACCUCCCAGGGCAUCACGAUCGCGUUCUCAAAGAGUCGAGUUGUUUGGGAAUGCAGCUCCAAAUGGGUGGUAAACUCCAUCUAAAGCUAAACAUUGGCGAGAGACCGAUAGCGAACAAGUACCGUGAAGGAAAGAUGAAAAGAACUUUGGAAAGAGAGUUAAACAGUACGUGAAAUUGUUGAAAGGGAAACGCUUGAAGUCAAGUCGCGUCGGCUUGGGAUCAGCCUGGCAACUGCCAGGUGCACUCCCUGGUCGACGGGUCAGCACCAGUUUCGACCGUUGGAAAAAGGUCGGGGGAAUGUGGCAUCCUCGGAUGUGCUUAUAGCCCUCGAUCGGAUGCAUCGGUUGGGAUUGAGGAACUCAGCGUGCCGCGAGGGCCGGGUUUCAAACCACGUCCGCGCUCAGGAUGCUGGCAGAAUGGCUUUAAUCGACCCGUCUUGAAACACGG
rnacentral:rRNA from 1 species